rnacentral:rRNA from 1 species
CCCUUAGAUGUCCUGGGCCGCACGCGCGCUACACUGACCAGUGCAACAAGCAUCCGUCCUUGGCCGACAGGCUCGGGCAAUCUUUGAACGCUGGUCGUGAUGGGGAUAGACUUUUGCAAUUUUUGGUCUUCAACGAGGAAUUCCUAGUAAACGCAAGUCAUCAACUUGCAUUGAUUACGUCCCUGCCCUUUGUACACACCGCCCGUCGCACCUACCGAUUGAAUGGUCCGGUGAAGCCUCCGGAUUGGCGCGCACCUCGGUGCCGCCGAGAAGUUGGCUAAACCUUACCAUUUAGAGGAAGGUGAANUCGUAACA